rnacentral:lncRNA from 1 species
AUGGGCGGCUGUUGCGGGGUAGGUCGUAGGCGGAACAGCGCAUACCGGGCACCCAGAGCGUCGGCGGCCUGCGGCGCUGCAUACGACAGGGCCGGGCCCGUCCCGCCGUGCGCCCCUGCCCCAAUAGCCUGUGGGCGGCGGGCGGCCCGUGCCUGUGUGUGUGUGUGUGUGCAGCGGCGGCUGGUUGCGGCGCUCAGUGCAGCCGUGUUUCGGGUUGACGAAUUGCUUGUCAGCUAGCGAGGCGCGCCGUGGACCUUGGAAAAGAGGGGCCGACCGGCACACGUGCUGCACAUGGGUGGUGGGCUGAGGAGGAGUCUUUGUUUCGGGGGGCCGCGCGGCUGACCCGGCCCCGGCCGGCGGCUCCCGUGUGCGUGGUAUGACUGCGCCUCGCUGUAACGGUGUUGGAGCAUCUGCACACACACCUACACAAACACACAUGCACAGCUCGUGCAGGGGCCAUGCGUGUGAGCAGCUGCGUCAGGAGCACCUGGAUCGCACCGGCAGGAGGGCCGCAUUACAGGGGCGAUCUGUAUCCGUGAAGGUGU